rnacentral:lncRNA from 1 species
UUUCUAUUCAUUCUGGGAGGACGAUGGAGUGAUUGAUCUCUUAAUCUAGUCCGCUGGGUGACUCGGAAGUCUGAGUCUGAUCCUUGAAACAACUUGAUAAAGCUGUGGACGUCUUGAUCAAAUCUCCACAAAAUGCUGUACUUCUCUAAGAUUCAAGUCUCUAGUUGGUAGUUGUAGUUGGUGUUCUCUAGCUUGAGUUGCGAUAGUUAAAAAUAAUGUUCAGCAUGCAAAAAGAACAAGCAGAGAUAAUAUUCAGAUAAAUUAACUGAAGAACGACAGUGGAAACGAGCCUAUGAAGAGGCAAGUCUGUUUGGUCUCGGAAACAAGUAUGACAGACCAACUAAAAAAUGAAGCUCUUCCCCUCUAUCCUUUGUAAUACACGAACAUCUAAUGAAACUUCCCUUACCUUGUCCAGUUUGCUCCUUUGCCUAAAAGCCCCCACGCAAACAGAGUGAGAUCGCUCGGUUGAGGAAAUAAUCCUUUGCCUGGAAGUCACGUGCAGCCUUCCUUCAUUAGCUUAAAGAAGGGCCAUACGGAUCGCACUAAAUAGGAGGCUAAGUUGAGGAAAG